GUUUCUAAGCCUGGUGUGCCAGAGACCUUCCAUUCCUCUAGGCUUGACCUUUUAGAUCCUACCCCAUGCUACAGACGUUAUUUCCAUUCCCUGCUAGACCCAUCAAAAUGACUCAUUCUGUGCUCUUUAUUCAGGAUUUUUAAAGCAACAUAGCUAAUAAAUAUAAGUGUAUGUGCUAAUGUUUUAUAAUUUGUCAUGUUACUGUUAUCUUUUUACAAGUUAAAUUUGCAAAUUCCAUUUUUAAAGUAUGGGCCUGCAAUCCCAGGUUGCUACCAUGUGGUUAAAAUUGACUUGAUCACAUGCAUUGAGCCAUAGAUGUAAGGAUAUGUAACUAAAAUAGUUCUUUUAAAACGACUCUGUGUGUGUAUGCGCGUGUGUGUUUGUGUCUGAAGAAUUAACUAAACCAAAACACAGGAUUUAGUGAUUCACAGAGUUGGCGAACAUGUUGCAGGCAUUUUUCCAUUUUUCUGUUAGCAACUGUAGCAGAUAUCACUAAUUGCUGAGGCAUCCAUUCCAACCAAAUUAGGAUAAGACAUCAGAAUCUUUCUUAACACAGCACCUGAAACAAGCUCUAUCGAUUAAUAUAAAGUGGCAUUUGGAGUAAAAUCAUGUAUCUUUCUUGAUAUAGAGGAAGUUUAAAAUAACAACAACAGCACAUCAAGGCUUUGAAACAUCAGGCUGGUAGAGGCCAGGAGUGGAUGGACCUGGAGUUCUGUGUGCUUGAACUUGGUCUGGAUGGCCCACUGCUGCUCUUGGACUACCAAGGAUGCACCAAGGAAGAUCAUAAACAGGCAUCCAGAUUGCCAUAAAUUACUGUGAAACUUUUAGAGAAGAUGAUUCCAAAUCCACAGCCUUUUUUGCUGCAUUUCUUAGAGGGCUCAAGAAACAUGUAUUUUUGGAAUGAAGAAAGGAGACACACAGAAGAGAAACAUGUGAGCAAAGCACUAUAUGGAACUUCACUGAUGGCUCAGUGGGUAAGAACCCGCCUGCCUAUGCAGGAGGUGCAAGAGACACGUUGAAUCCUUGGGGUGGGAAGAUCCCCUGGAGAAAGAAAAUGGCAACCCCAUCCAGGAUUCUUGCCUGGGGGAUCUCAUGGACAGAAACGCCUGGAGGGCUAUAUAGCCCAUAAUGGGGUAGCAAGGAGUUGGACACAACUGAGCACAUGACACAAGGCACUGCGUGGUCAAGUUUCAUCCUUGAAUGGAGUCAGCUACACAUAAUUAAAGUGGAGUCCCAAGGUUUGCUGCAAAUUAAUUAUUGGGAUCAAUUUUAUUUCAUGUCUUUUUCAAUUUAGUUCCUAAUUUUGAUAUUAUCUUUCAGUUGACUUGAGUGUCUCCUCGAAUUUGGUUUUCUGUGUGUGUUUUAGAGAUUUUUUUUGCACCUGAGAAUGUCUUUAUACAUUCAUUUAAAACAAGUGAUCUGGAUACUAAAUUACUGAGUCACUGAAUUUCUCUUCACAAUAAAAUUUGGUGUUAAAUCUUAGGCCAACCUAGCUUUUAUUUAUUAUAGGUGGCGUGUUUCUUCUUCUUGCUUGAAUAUUUUUAAGAUGUUUUCUUUAUUCUUGUAAGCUGAAAUAUUUGUUGUGGUGUGCCUGGAUCUGAAUGUCUCUCUAUUGAUUGCAUUGAACAUGGUGAAUGCAUUCAUACUGCAUACUCAGGCCAUAUUUAUUUUUCCAGUGAGGGAAAUUUUUCUUUGAUUAUUAACAUUUGAACAUCAGAAAUCAUCCCCUGUGAGUGUGUGUGUGUGUUUUUUUUUAAUAGAUACUGAGUUUACCCAGAAAAGAUAGUAAACUUGUUCUUCGUGACCCAAGGAAAUUUAACUGACUUUACCAUGAGACAAUAUGAUGGUUGAAAACAUACUUUAAAAGUAUAUAUAGAUUACAGAAAUACUUUUUCCUGAACAAAGAGGAAGAAACUGGUUGUUUGGAAAGAGACUUUUUGUGUGUGUUUUUUUGUUCCAUAUUUUUUCAGAGUCAUAUUCUUUUUGGCAUACAUGGUAAACAUACCUAAGGGCAUUUUUCUCUUAAUUUUGGAAUCCAAGUUAAAUCUCUUGUUCUAGAACACCCACGUGAUAUAACUUUAAUGCUAGAAGGAAAUCUAGGUCUCUGGUGGCAAGAGGACUAUAUAUGUGCGGAAGGAAGGGUUGGUAAAUAAGCUGGAAGAGUCAUCAUAGAAUCAUGACUUAAUAGCAUAAUAUGAGCUUUUCCCUUUUAUAUCAAGCUUAUAGUAUUGUUGGAGAAGGCAA
rnacentral:lncRNA from 1 species